rnacentral:rRNA from 1 species
GAUGAACGCUGGUGGCGUGCCUAAUACAUGCAAGUCGAGCGAACAGACGAGGAGCUUGCUCCUCUGACGUUAGCGGCGGACGGGUGAGUAACACGUGGAUAACCUACCUAUAAGACUGGGAUAACUUCGGGAAACCGGAGCUAAUACCGGAUAAUAUAUUGAACCGCAUGGUUCAAUAGUGAAAGACGGUUUUGCUGUCACUUAUAGAUGGAUCCGCGCCGCAUUAGCUAGUUGGUAAGGUAACGGCUUACCAAGGCAACGAUGCGUAGCCGACCUGAGAGGGUGAUCGGCCACACUGGAACUGAGACACGGUCCAGACUCCUACGGGAGGCAGCAGUAGGGAAUCUUCCGCAAUGGGCGAAAGCCUGACGGAGCAACGCCGCGUGAAUGAUGAAGGUCUUCGGAUCGUAAAACUCUGUUAUUAGGGAAGAACAAAUGUGUAAGUAACUAUGCACGUCUUGACGGUACCUAAUCAGAAAGCCACGGCUAGCUACGUG